GAACGAACGCUGGCGGCGUGCCUAACACAUGCAAGUCGAGCGAGAAAGUCUUCGGAUGAGUAAAGCGGCGGACGGGUGAGUAAUACGUAGGUAAUCUACCUUUCAGUGUGGAAUAACUAAGGGAAACUUUAGCUAAUACCGCAUUCGGUUUCAGAUCUUAUGGUCUGAAAAUAAAGGGGGGUCGUAAGAUCUCUCGCUGAUUGAUGAGCCUGCGUCCGAUUAGCUAGUUGGUAAGGUAAUGGCUUACCAAGGCGACGAUCGGUAGCUGAUUUGAGAGAAUGAUCAGCCACACUGGAACUGACACACGGUCCAGACUCCUACGGGAGCAGCAGUGGGAAUAUGCACAAUGGGGGAAACCUGAUGCAGCGACGCCGCGU
rnacentral:rRNA from 1 species